rnacentral:tRNA from 1 species
AUUUAAAUAGCUUAAAUUUAAGAGUAUAAUAUUGAAGAUAUUAUGGUGAUUAUAUAAAUCUUUAAAUA